UGCUUUGUGCAGUGGCAGUAUCGUAGCCAAUGAGGUUAAUCCGAGGUGUGAUUAUUGCUAAUUGAAAACUUUUCCCAAUACCCUGCCAUGACAACUUGAAAUAUAGUCGGCAAUGGCAAUUUUUGACAAUAUGCUGUAUCCUCCUCCACAAAGCCCCACUUCAGUAUA